CCUGAUUCCACUCUCCCACCCUCCCAGAGCUUAACUGGCAAGUAUAACCUGAGUUAUACCACCAAACCCAGACACUAUUGCAUAUGCCAGCAAGAUUUUGCUGACAGGACCCUGAUAUCUCUCUUGUGAGGCUAUGCCAGUGCCUGGCAAAUACAGAAGUGGAUGCUCACAGUCAUCUAUUGGAUGGAACACAGGGCCCCUAAAGAAGGAGCUAUAGAAAGUAACCAAGUAGCUAAAGGGGUUGGCAACCCUAUAGGAGGAUCAACAAUAUGAACUAACCAGUACCACCACCACCCCAGAACUGUGUCUCUAGUUGCAUAUGUAGCAGAGGGAGUCAGCCAUCAAUGGGAGGAGAGGCCACUGAUGGUCUUGCUGUAGACAUGAUGGCUGAAACUUCAAUGCUGAGCAAUUUGAAGAAGAGGCAACCUUGAAGAUGAAAGCCACUUACUUACUGAUGGUGGCAGUACAGAAAAAGCAGAUGCCUGGGCUCCUGAAUGCUGUUCACCCCUAUGCCAUCCCUGCACCCUCUUUAGCUGCAUGAGAGGGAAAAUACCUGAUUUGAUGUAUUUUCACCAUGGUUCUUAUUAGAUGGUGUGGUGAGGCUCUCUAUUCUGCACUGAAUACUCUCUACAAGUCAUACAAUGAGAAAUAUGGUCAUCUGAGUAUGAACAAAUAUCUCCAAAGCUUUGGUUUCUUGACUAGAAUGGGAAACAACCACUUCUAAGGGGAAACUCCUGUGAAGGGGGAAAGCAAAAAUCCAGCCAUGGUGACCUCUGAGUGCAUUUUAGACAUACUAGCUCUGUUCCCCAUUUUCCAACAGAUUUAUAACAUUCCAGCUCACUUGGGGUUCUAGUUCACCUUUGUGCUCCAGAAAGGAGAACUGCAUAGCUGUGGAGAAUUGCUGGGAGCUAGCUAAAUGGUCUUUGGCUUCCUAUAUUCCAUAGAAUUAGUUAACUUGUUUCAUUAUGAUAAAAUACCAAAUAGAAGCAAUUUACAGGAAGAAGGAUUGAUUCCAGCUCACAGUUAUAAAGAGAGUCCAUCCACUGUGGUGAAGAAAUCAUGAUAGUUAGAUAUCUCCAUCUGGGCAUUAGGAGGUUGGGGCAUGCUUGUUCACAUCUUGAUGGAUCAAGAAGCAGAGGAAAUGGAACCACAAGUGAUACUGGGGCAUGACUGUUAAAGGCACACCCUGUGUGCCCCACUCUGUUAGCCAGUCCCUGUAACAUCCCCAGGUUAACCCCCCCCAAAAUUUGGUGACAAGGUGUUAAAAUAUGAACCAAGCUCCAGGAGCAUUUUGAGUCCAAGUCU
rnacentral:lncRNA from 1 species